AUAGGGCUGCAUAAAAAUGUAAAUUAUAAUUUCUCUUUCUCCAUCGCCAGAUCUUAAUUUUCUAGCUGCUUAAAAAUAAAGAAUCUGGAAAUAAAGAAAACAGAUAGAAAAAGAGACAUGGAAAGAGAGAGAGCCAUAUAAAUAUUUUUCCAACCAGCUACUAAAGUCCGCGGAUGAUCGAGUUAAGGGAAGCAACAGCAAGACAGGGAAAACUAAAAUGAAAUGAAACGCGCUUUUUUGUGUUUGACCAGAGUGCAAAAGAAUGUUUUUCAUUGACAUUAUUCAAAAAGUUUCACCAUUGAGCAAUGAAAAUUUCAAUGGCAUAGAAUAUGUAUUAUAUUUUAUUAAUUUAUUUAUUUUUUAUAAUUUGUACAA
rnacentral:lncRNA from 1 species